AGCGAACGCUGGCGGCAGGCCUAAUACAUGCAAGUCGAGCGCACCUUCGGGUGAGCGGCGGACGGGUGAGUAACGCGUGGGAACGUGCCCUUUGGUACGGGAUAACUGAGGGAAACUUCAGCUAAUACCGUAUGUGCCCUACGGGGGAAAGAUUUAUCGCCAUUGGAGCGGCCCGCGUUGGAUUAGGUAGUUGGUGGGGUAAAGGCCCACCAAGCCUACGAUCCAUAGCUGGUCUGAGAGGAUGAUCAGCCACACUGGGACUGAGACACGGCCCAGACUCCUACGGGAGGCAGCAGUAGGGAAUCUUGCGCAAUGGGCGAAAGCCUGACGCAGCCAUGCCGCGUGAAUGAUGAAGGUCUUAGGAUUGUAAAAUUCUUUCACCGGGGAAGAUAAUGACGGUACCCGGAGAAGAAGCCCCGGCUAACUUCGUGCCAGCAGCCGCCGUAACAC
rnacentral:rRNA from 1 species